GACGAACGCUGGCGGCGUGCUUAACACAUGCAAGUCGAGCGGUAAGGCCCUUUCGGGGGUACACGAGCGGCGAACGGGUGAGUAACACGUGGGUGACCUGCCCUUAGCUCUGGGAUAAGCCUGGGAAACUGGGUCUAAUACCGGAUACGACUCCGCGGUGCAUGCUGUGGGGUGGAAAGCCUUGUGCGGCUGGAGAUGGGCCCGCGGCCUAUCAGCUUGUUGGUGGGGUGAUGGCCUACCAAGGCGACGACGGGUAGCCGGCCUGAGAGGGCGACCGGCCACACUGGGACUGAGACACGGCCCAGACUCCUACGGGAGGCAGCAGUGGGGAAUCUUGCGCAAUGGGCGAAAGCCUGACGCAGCGACGCCGCGUGAGGGAUGACGGCCU
rnacentral:rRNA from 1 species